rnacentral:misc_RNA from 1 species
AUUCGCCGGCCUGUCGUUAUUCGUUUCUUCCUUUGUGUGCGUGGGCCCGUUACGACUUCUCCGCCGUACGUAGCAGGAGUACCUUCUCUUACACGCACGCACACACACACACCUUCACCGCCACCACCACCACACUCGCUCGAGUCAUCGCCAUGGCCGAGGAGGAUAUUGCGGACUUCACCCUCGAUGACGAGAAGGUCAUCGACACAGACCAGGGGCUCGCCAAGCAGGACUUCAGCAAGAUCGACCUCGAUGAGCUCGACGUCGACACCUUCGAGGUCAUGUCGCGCCAGGCCACCAUCAACGUCGGCACCAUCGGCCACGUCGCACACGGUAAGUCCACCGUGGUCAAAGCGCUCAGCGGUGUCAAGACGCAGAAGUUCCACCGCGAGGCUGUCAUGAACAUCACCAUCCACCUCGGCUACGCCAACGCCAAGGUGUACCAGUGCGAGACCUGCCCACGCCCCACCUGCUACCAGACCUACCCGUCCUCGCAGCCGGACAGCACGCCGUGCCCCAACUGCGGAGAGACCAUGACGCUGAAGCGCCACUUCUCCUUUGUCGACUGCCCCGGCCACGACGUGCUGAUGGCAACCAUGCUGAACGGCGCCGCCAUCAUGGACGCCGCGCUGCUGCUCAUCGCCGCCAACGAGUCGUUCCCGCAGCCGCAGACGCUGGAGCACCUGAAGGCUGUCGAGAUCAUGAAGCUGCGCCACCUCGUGGUCCUGCAAAACAAGAUCGACCUUGUCGGUGAGGUGAAGGCACACGACCAGUACCGCCAUGUUCGCGCCUACCUCGACAACAUCGCCUUGAAUGUGCCGAUUGUGCCGAUCUCGGCGCAGCUGAAGCGCAACGUGGACUACCUCCUAGAGUACCUCCUCCACAUCCCGAUGCCGGUGCGCCAGCUGAAGGCGCCGGUGCGCAUGACAGUCGUGCGUUCUUUCGACAUUAACAAGCCAGGCGAGGGCGACAUUGAGAGCCUGAAGGGUGGCGUGGCUGGUGGGACAGUCACGCAAGGCGUCAUCAAGGUGGGACAGGUGGUGGAGAUCCGUCCUGGCCUGGUGCGCUCACGCAGCUCCAACGAGCAGGGCGGCCGCUUCACCUAUAGCCCGCUGAAAACGCGCACGGUUACGCUCAAGGCGGAGAAUAACGUACUGCAGUACGCCAUUCCUGGCGGCCUCAUCGCCGUCGGCACGACCCUCGACCCGACCCUGACGCGUCAAGACAAGAUGGUGGGCAACAUGCUGGGCGAGGAGGGCACGCUGCCGGAGGUGUAUUGCGAGAUUGAGGUGCAGUACUAUCUUUUCUCCGAGAUGGUUGGUGCCAAGUCGAAGGAUGGCAAGUCCACGGCGAAGCGCGUGCAGAAGCUGAACGUUCUGGAGUCCCUGCAGAUCAACGUAGGCACCCUCACGGCUGGUGCAACGGUGCUUAAUAUCACCCAGGACCCCGAGAUCGCGAAGCUGGAGCUGGUGACGCCGGUGUGCUGCUCCACGGGUGAGCAGGUGGCGAUCUCGCGUAUGGUGGACAAGACGUUCCGUCUGAUUGGCUGGGGCACGAUCCGUCGUGGUGUGCCCAUGAAGCAGAGCAGCUAAGAAGUGUGCGCCUGACGCUGUACGUACUGGGGAGAAGAGGGCAGUGGAACUGCGCCCCCGGUUUCUGCUUUCGGCGUUCGGGGUUGUACAGGGCGGGCGAUGCGGCGACGCGGUGGGGCGGGGUGGGUGGGUGGGAAGCAGUCGAAAAGGAGUUGAUGCCAAGUGUCGCAUGGCAUGGCGGCAGGCGAGGCGAAGAAACACGACAACGUUCUAUAUAUAUAUAUAUAUAUGUAUACAUCAACGAAGCCAUUGAGAUGGGGCAGCAGGGCGGGAAAGAGGAAGAGGGCCCUACAUCGGCGCACAUACACGCAUACGCACGUACAAGCACGCAUACCCAUGCGCCCGCGCUGAGCGUAAGCAAGGGCCUGCGCUGUGUAUGAUGUGUGAUGUGUGUGUGUAUCUCCGAUGCCUUCCACAUCACAGCCACCCAUGCCGCCACUACCACAGGUUUGACUUCGUGAUUAGGAAAGUAAAAGGGAACAAAGGAAGGAAGGAAAAAUGAAGUGCGCAGCUGAACUAAUCAAGUCGGCGUGCAUUGUUGUCCUGUGCACGUGCGUGUGUGUGUAUGUGUCGAUGAUGGGUCGCUGAAGCAGCUGCGGUGCGUAAGGUGUGUGUUGUUGUUUGUCUCCAUGUUUUUAUGAAGUCCAUAAGACGAGGGGAAGCAAUGCCGCGGAGCCGCGGGCUGUGCUAAGGGGUGGAGGAUGCAGCACUGGAGUAUCUGACAUCUGCCCAUAUAUGUAUGGAGAAACAGAGUAUAAUGGCGAGGGACGGCGUGGAUGGAAAACGGCGCGGCACGCAAGCGUGCGUGCAAUACGUCUCUGACGCUUCCCCUCCUCCUCUCGAAGCUCUUCUUACCUGUGUGCUGGUGCUCUCGACCCCACCCCUUAACGUGUGAUGUUUGAUGUGUGAUGUGCGUGUGUGAUGGCGAUUGGGCACUCGUUCUAAGCUGAAGUGCAGAGGCUAAUCAAGUUCUAACAAGUGAUGUCUUC